GCCCACCGCUACUGGGCUCGUUGACUGCCUUCUAAGCAGUCGGUCGCUGGUUCGAAUCCAGCAGGGGGCG
rnacentral:tRNA from 1 species